CCUACGGGUGGCAGCAGUAGGGAAUCUUCCACAAUGGGCGAAAGCCUGAUGGAGCAACGCCGCGUGGGUGAAGAAGGUCUUCGGAUCGUAAAAGCCUGUUGUUAGAGAAGAAAGCGCGUGAGAGUAACUGUUCACGUUUCGACGGUCUCUACCCAGAAAGCCACGGCUAACUACGUGCAAGCAGCCGCGGUAAUACGUAGUGGGAAAGCGUUUUCCGGAUUGCUUGGGCGUAAAGGGAACGCAGGCGGUCUUUUAAGUCUGCUGGGAAAGCCUUGGGCUUAACCGGAGCAGGGCAUUGGAAACGGGGGGACUUGAGUGCAGAUGAGGAGAGUGGAACUCCAUGUGUAGCGGUGAAAUGCGUAGAUAUAUGGAAGAACACCAGUGGCGAAGGCGACUCUCUGGUCUGUAACUGACGCUGAGGUGCGAAAGCGUGUGUAGCGAACAGGAUUAGAUACCCGGGUAGUC
rnacentral:rRNA from 1 species